GUGGGGAAUAUUGCACAAUGGGCGCAAGCCUGAUGCAGCCAUGCCGCGUGUAUGAAGAAGGCCUUCGGGUUGUAAAGUACUUUCAGCGGGGAGGAAGGCGAUAAGGUUAAUAACCUUGUCGAUUGACGUUACCCGCAGAAGAAGCACCGGCUAACUCCGUGCCAGCAGCCGCGGUAAUACGGAGGGUGCAAGCGUUAAUCGGAAUUACUGGGCGUAAAGCGCACGCAGGCGGUCUGUCAAGUCGGAUGUGAAAUCCCCGGGCUCAACCUGGGAACUGCAUUCGAAACUGGCAGGCUAGAGUCUUGUAGAGGGGGGUAGAAUUCCAGGUGUAGCGGUGAAAUGCGUAGAGAUCUGGAGGAAUACCGGUGGCGAAGGCGGCCCCCUGGACAAAGACUGACGCUCAGGUGCGAAAGCGUGGGGAGCAAACAGGAUUAGAAACCCUGGUAGUCC
rnacentral:rRNA from 1 species